UACGUAGGGUGCGAGCGUUGUCCGGAAUUAUUGGGCGUAAAGAGCUCGUAGGCGGUCUGUCGCGUCGGUCGUGAAAACUUGGGGCUUAACCCUGAGCUUGCGGUCGAUACGGGCAUGACUGGAGUUCGGCAGGGGAGACUGGAAUUCCUGGUGUAGCGGUGAAAUGCGCAGAUAUCAGGAGGAACACCGGUGGCGAAGGCGGCUCUCUGGGACGGUACUGACGCUGAGACGCGAAAGCGUGGGGAGCGAACAGG
rnacentral:rRNA from 1 species